rnacentral:rRNA from 1 species
GACGAACGCUGGCGGCGUGCUUAACACAUGCAAGUCGAACGCUGAAGCCCUUUCGGGGGUGGAUGAGUGGCGAACGGGUGAGUAACACGUGGGUAAUCUGCCCUGCACUCUGGGAUAAGCCUUGGAAACGGGGUCUAAUACCGGAUAGGACACAUCGCCGCAUGGUGUGUGUGUGGAAAGUUCCGGCGGUGCAGGUUGAGCCCGCGGCCUAUCCGCUUGUUGGUGGGGUGAUGGCCUACCAAGGCGACGACGGGUAGCCGGCCUGAGAGGGUGACCGGCCACACUGGGACUGGGACACGGCCCAGACUCCUACGGGAGGCAGCAGUGGGGAAUCUUGCGCAAUGGGCGAAAGCCUGACGCAGCAACGCCGCGUGGGGGAUGACGGCCUUCGGGUUGUAAACCUCUUUCGACCGGGACGAAGGGUGACUGACGGUACCGGUAGAAGAAGCACCGGCUAACUACGUGCCAGCAGCCGCCGCUG